rnacentral:rRNA from 1 species
AUUGAACGCUGGCGGCAGGCCUAACACAUGCAAGUCGAGCGAGCGGCGGACGGGUGCGUGAUGUCUGGGAAACUGUCUGAUGGAGGGGGGUAACUACUGGAAACGGUAGCUAAUACCGCAUACCAUCAGAUGUGCCCCGAUGGGAUUAGCUAGUAGGUGUGGUAACGGCUCACCUAGGCGACGCUCCCCAGCUGGUCUGAGAGGAUGACCAGCCAGACUGGAACUGAGACACGGUCCAGACUCCGACGGGAGGCAGCAGUGGGGAAUAUUGCACAAUGGGCGCAAGCCUGAUGCAGCCAUGCCGCGUGUGUGAAGAAGGCCUUCGGGUUGUAAAGCACUUUCAGCGGGGAGGCGUUACCCGCAGAAGAAGCACCGGCUAACGCCGUGCCAGCCGCCGCGGUAAUAC